rnacentral:lncRNA from 1 species
CUUUAUCUCUUCAUCUUCUCAGCUCUUCAUGACCACACACUCUCCCUCUCCAUUUUGACAGAAACACAAAGCAAUACCCAUUUGUUCUUUUUACGGGUGGUCUUCAACUCACAGAUCUCAUCUUGCAUUUAUCAAAUCCUUCACCAAAUGUACUGGGUAUGGAGUGAGUAGGAGGCAAAAUGGGCUAUCAUCAUCACACGAAACAUUUCGAAUUUUGCAUCUUGUAGUCAUCUCUUCUACCGAUCCAAAGUUGAAAUCAUGGCUGGGUAUGCCUUGACUUUGAACAAAUCCCACUCUAUCAGAGUUAUACGGUGACUGGGAAUUAUCCUUGAAGUGCAGGAGUGCGACGGCCAAGCAAUGGCUUCGAAAGGGACCGGAGAAGACAAUUAUGAAGGCAAACAGAAAAGUAUUACUAGACGCUCAAAGGAGUAAGCAAUAUUUCCAAAGCCAAGAACAACUGAAAUAGAUAGAGGCCGACUUGAAAAAUUCCGAGCCUAAGUGUAUGCAACUUGAGAGUGACCUUUUAGACACUGGUUGUACCUUGGGAGCUCUUAAAGCUUUAUUAGCCGAGUAAUGAUGAUUUAUGUAUGUGGCUCUUUUAUCAGCCAGUGGCCGGCUUUCGUAAACAUUUGAAUCUUAUGGGCCAAUGAAAAACUAAUUAUUUGCUUGGU